CUGGCACGUCGUUUUUACGCGCUACAUGCUAUUGUGCAACUGGUAGCUAGAAAGCAGAUUCCAAGUGGACAAUCCCAAUCAAUGGGUUCUUCGGGAGGACUACUGCUGAUGCUGUACCUUAUGGUGACAAGGCAUUCUCCCGUCCACACGUUGUUCCUGACAUCGAUACGUGAUCGCUGCGUGGUCUGCAUCCCGGGACAGGAUCCGUUUUCCAACUUCUUGACCAACACACUGUGCUGUCCCAUGUUUGGAUCCUGCUGCAGCCCAGAAGGCGGCAGCAAGGGCAAGAAAUUAUUUUCCUUCAGAAAAUGGCAGUGGGACAAUCGCUAGAGGAGGCGUACAAUGAGAGGCCAUUCUCGCAAUCUUGCAGCAACGACGCUGUGAUGUCUUUGGGACCAUAGUGUGACGGUGCGCCCACUUGUAUAGUGUGUUUGUCGCGUGUGCGCGUUAGAAAUAACGCUACGGGUCAUUACCAUUGUCCGCCGAGUCCUUGGAACGGAGAAUGAAGGGCAUUUUUGGAUGGGCUUCAAUCGUGACGGAGACAGUCAGCUGGUUGUGUGUUUUCUGAGCGGUAUUGUGGGACGGUAGAGUGUGUUGGACGUGAUCCUGUUUUCACGUCGUCACUGAUUCUGUAAUACUAUGAGCGUGCCUAAAAAUUCAAAAAUGUUUGAACACAGGCAGCGGAUGUAGAGGUGCAAGAGGAGGACGUUUAAUUAACAAUAUAGUGCACUUAAUGAAAUGAAUAUCUACAGGCGUGCCGCUGAUGAGUUAAAUUCAGGAUUUUACUCUGCGGGGGGGGGGAGGAUAUGUU